rnacentral:rRNA from 1 species
GACGAACGCUGGCGGCGCGCUUAACACAUGCAAGUCGAACGGAAAGGCCUGCUUUCCCUUGUGGAUUGCGGGUACUCGAGUGGCGAACGGGUGAGUAACACGUGAGUGAUCUGCCCCCAACUUGGGUAUAAGCCUGGGAAACUGGGUCUAAUUCCCGAUAGGACUGCAGGGUGGUGCCUGUGGUGGAAAACGAUUUUCUAGUGGUUGGGGAUGAGCUCGCGGCCUAUCAGCUUGUUGGUGGGGUAAUGGCCUACCAAGGCGGCGACGGGUAGCCGGCCUGAGAGGGUGGACGGCGACAUUGGGACUGAGAUACGGCCCAGACUGCUACGGGAGGCAGGAGUGGGGGAUAUUGCACAAUGGGCGGAAGCCUGAUGCAGCGACGCCGCGUGGGGGAUCACGGCCUUCGGGUUGUAAACUCCUUUCGACCGCGAGGAAGCCACCUGGUUGGAAGGGUGGUGACGGUAGUGGUAGAAGAAGCACCGGCUAACUACGUG